rnacentral:SRP_RNA from 1 species
AGUCUCAUACGACCAGCUCCUACUGAACUCCCCCAGACCGGGAACGGAGCAAGGGUAGGUAGUCGUAGCGGUGCGAUGUGANNGAGUA